UCAUGUACAGCAUACUAUCCUGAACUGAACAAAACUGAUAUCCUAUGAUUUCAAAAGCUAAACAGGGUCAGGUCUGGUUAGUACUUGGAUGGGAGACCACCCUGGAAUCCCAGGUGGGGCAAGGA
rnacentral:rRNA from 1 species